rnacentral:rRNA from 1 species
AGUGAACGCUGGCGGUAGGCCUAACACAUGCAAGUCGAACGGCAGCACAGUAAGAGCUUGCUCUUACGGGUGGCGAGUGGCGGACGGGUGAGGAAUACAUCGGAAUCUACUUUUUCGUGGGGGAUAACGUAGGGAAACUUACGCUAAUACCGCAUACGACCUACGGGUGAAAGCAGGGGAUCUUCGGACCUUGCGCGAUUGAAUGAGCCGAUGUCGGAUUAGCUAGUUGGCGGGGUAAAGGCCCACCAAGGCGACGAUCCGUAGCUGGUCUGAGAGGAUGAUCAGCCACACUGGAACUGAGACACGGUCCAGCCUCCUACGGGAGUCAGCAGUGGGGAAUAUUGGACAAUGGGCGCAAGCCUGAUCCAGCCAUACCGCGUGGGUGAAGAAGGCCUUCGGGUUGUAAAGCCCUUUUGUUGGGAAAGAAAAGCAGCAGGUUAAUACCCCGCUGUUCUGACGGUACCCAAAGAAUAAGCACCGGCUAACUUCGUG